AUAGAAAAACUGUAAAAAUCUUGGAAGAGAGCGAGAGAAAGGAGGUGGGCGUAACGAGAAACAUAUCAAAGGCUUGGUUAGUUGUUAGCGACUAAUAAACAGCUGACAAGGGGGCCAUCAACAUGUAUGUGAAAGAUGGUUUGAUAGUACUGGGCUUCCUCACUAUAUCAGUAUCAUGCUUUGUGUUUGAUCUACGAUCUGGUUUAACAAAGCGAGAACGAUGUCAGGUGCAGGUAGUUCGAUUGACCAUCCAUCCGCCGCGGAUGUUCCAGGAUAAAUGUUCCCCUUCUCGAAUAGUUACCUACGGAUGUAGAGGAACCUGUCACUCCUACAGCAAAUUAGACAGAAACAACACAACAAAACUCAUGCGAUCUUGCAAUUGUUGUGAACCAAUAAGAGUGGGAUUACGGUUAGCUGUUCUUGAAUGUGUUAAUGGCAUCCAGAUCCGAACACCAGUGAAAUUUGCUCGUCAGUGCCAGUGUCGACCCUGCUUUUCAUCCGUCCACAACAUGGAUAUUAACCGUUUACAACAAUUAUUGCGCAAAACGUCGUUUAAGAAUUCUCUGAUAAGAGGAUGAACUCUAAAGAACUAGAAUCGUGCCCUGUUAUUAAUUAUAUUUUACUGUAUCUGUCUUCGAUAUUAGUGGCUUUGUAAAUAUAUAUAUAUAUAUAUAUGCUCGGUGUGUCUCACAGUGUACGUCGUAAGAUCUCUUCUUCACUUGCGCCAAGACUCAAGCUGCCAAGCACUACAGUAGACCUUUUCAAAGUUACAAUUUCAUAUUUUUAUGUUAUAUUUUUAAAAUGUAUUAAAAUAAAGUCCGAAAAUAGAUGGUAUCUAUAAACAGUCCUUCCUUGUUAAAGAAUAAUCCUAUUAAUCCUAUAAUUCACUAUUGCCAGUUGAGAAAUUGGCAAAAAUAUCAUUCUCAACUUCCAAUUCAAACGUUUGAAGAUAGCUACUCCAUGGUGGAGAAUAGCAAACAAGGGAGGUAAAUGAGUUUUAAGUGUGAGAAUGAUACCUACGAUCUUAUAAUAGUGAGUUGACAACCUAUUGAGCAAAAGACAUAGAAAUAAUUAUAUUUUGACUUUCUUAGAAAAUAUGAAAUUGUAACUUUAAAGUUCUAGCAUGUCUACGGUACAAACAGAAUCCACACCCCUUUGUA